AUGGAUAUUGUAUCUACCGAACCUGCUGCCACAGGGGAGAAAUCAUCAUCACAAAAACCAGUUAGCGCAAUACUUUCUACACAACUAACAAACUUUCUAGUCUGCACAACAGAAUACACCAGAAAAGGAGGAGGGAGUUCACAUUUUGUUUCACACGGAAAAUUCAUAGAAAAAAAAGAACCCCUAAUCGAAUUCCAACUUCAAAACAUAAUUUUUUAA